rnacentral:rRNA from 1 species
AGUGAACGCUGGCGGUAGGCCUAACACAUGCAAGUCGAACGGCGGCACAGUAAGAGCUUGCUCUUACGGGUGGCGAGUGGCGGACGGGUGAGGAAUACAUCGGAAUCUACUUUUUCGUGGGGGAUAACGUAGGGAAACUUACGCUAAUACCGCAUACGACCUACGGGUGAAAGCAGGGGAUCUUCGGACCUUGCGCGAUUGAAUGAGCCGAUGUCGGAUUAGCUAGUUGGCGGGGUAAAGGCCCACCAAGGCGACGAUCCGUAGCUGGUCUGAGAGGAUGAUCAGCCACACUGGAACUGAGACACGGUCCAGACUCCUACGGGAGGCAGCAGUGGGGAAUAUUGGACGAUGGGCGCAAGCCUGAUCCAGCCAUACCGCGUGGGUGAAGAAGGCCUUCGGGUUGUAAAGCCCUUUUGUUGGGAAAGAAAAGCAGCAGGUUAAUACCCCGCUGUUCUGACGGUACCCAAAGAAUAAGCACCGGCUAACUUCGUG